rnacentral:rRNA from 1 species
UACGAAGGGUGCAAGCGUUGUUCGGAAUCAUUGGGCGUAAAGCGAGCGCAGGCGGAUCAGAAAGUCAGGUGUGAAAUCUCGAGGCUCAACCUCGAAAUUGCGCCUGAAACUUCUAGUCUAGAAUGUCGGAGGGGAUAGGGGAAUUUCACGUGUAGGGGUAAAAUCCGUAGAGAUGUGAAGGAACACCGGAGGCGAAGGCGCCUAUCUGGACGACUAUUGACGCUGAGGCUCGAAAGCGUGGGGAGCAAACAGG